rnacentral:rRNA from 1 species
CAGUCGCCGCGGUAAGACAGAGGAUGCAAGCGUUAUCCGGAAUGAUUGGGCGUAAAGCGUCUGUAGGUGGCUUUUCAAGUCCGCCGUCAAAUCCCAGGGCUCAACCCUGGACAGGCGGUGGAAACUACCAAGCUGGAGUACGGUAGGGGCAGAGGGAAUUUCCAGUGGAGCGGUGAAAUGCGUUGAGAUCGAAAAGAACACCAACAGCGAAAGCACUCUGCUGGGACGACACUGACACUAAGAGACGAAAGCUAGGGGAGCAAAUGGGAUUAGAUACCCCGGUAGUCCCUGUCUCUUAUAC